rnacentral:tRNA from 2 species
GCGCUCGUAGCUCAGUGGAUAGAGCAGUUGCCUUCUAAGCAAUUGGUCGCAGGUUCGAUCCCUGCCGAGCGCG